AGUGAAAUUGCUGGGUCAUAUGGUCAGUCUACUUUCAGAGUAAUUGUGAAAGUAUUUUUCAAAGUAGCUGUACCAUUUGCAUUCCCUGUGGCAAU
rnacentral:pre_miRNA from 8 species